rnacentral:lncRNA from 10 species
CUUUUUUGUUUGUUUGUUUGUUUUUUCUGAGACAUGGUCUCACUGUCUUUCAGGCUGGAGUGCAGUGGCAUGAUCGUGGCUCACUGCAGCCUCAACUUCCUGGGCUCAAGCAAUUCUCCUGCCUCAGUUCCCCUAGUAGCUGAGACUACAGACACACCAGAUUACCUCAACUAGAUCUCAAGUUCCUCUUUGUGAGUGAGCAGCAGUGAUGUAAGUCAGCCCUGGAUUCCAUCUGAGGAUUAUUUGUUCUACCAGUGAUUGUUAGUUUGCUUCCUUUUGUGGAUCUGUAGUUAUUCAAUAGGUUUCUGUUUGCUGUGAUAUAAAGGACUAUAACAUAAAGCUACUCAUUCUGUCUGUUUGUGCAACUCAAACACAAUGGGAACAUGCAACCUCUCUUACUCUGCUGAAAUAUUUUUAAAAAAUCAAUUUGUACUAUAUCAACAAUGUGAAGUUCAUAUAUAUUUAAAAGAAAGCAAAGCUUGUUCAAAUUUCUCCUAUUUUUAAAAUAGGCUAUGAAAUAUAUCUUUUCUCUUGGUAAUUGAGUAAUUGUUUCUUUAAUAUUUUAUGUAAUGAAUGUUUAUUGUAAGAAGCUUAAAAGAAGAAAAAAUUCCUAAUGUCUUUCUGCUUUUCUGCCUCACGAUAUAUACUGAGCAUUUUCGUGCCUUUUAAAUAGUUUUGUGAUAG